rnacentral:rRNA from 1 species
GAGUGCUUUUAUUGCAAGGGGAAGGGUCACUGGAAGCGGAACUGCCCCAAAUACUUAGCGGAUAAGAAGGCCGGCAACAUCAAAGGUAUAUUUGAUAUACAUGUAAUUGAUGUGUACCUUACCAGUACUCGUAGUAACUCCUGGGUAUUUGAUACCGGUGCCGUUGCUCAUAUUUGUAACUCACAGCAGGAGCUGCGGAAUAAACGGAGACUGGCGAAGGACGAGGUGACGAUGCGCGUCGAGAAUGGUUCCAGAGUCGAUGUGAUCGCCGUCGGCACGCUGCCUCUACAUUUACCUACGGGAUUAGUUUUGAA